rnacentral:lncRNA from 1 species
CCCGCGUCUCUCCCUAGGCUGGCGGCGGGGCUGGAGCUGGGCUUUUAUCUCCCGGCUGGCGCUGGUCGGAGCCAGAUCCCGUAGUCCUCUGAGACGUCAGGCUGCAGCCUUCGUUCCGCUCCGCAUCCUCAGCCCGCGCUCGCGCCUCCCGUUGGAGCACCGUCUCACCUGUCCGCACCCUGCCUCCCACCGGGCGAGAAGUCGCUGGGGGGUCCAACCCCGACUGUCCAGCUCUCAGCCCUCCGUUCUCCUCUCAAGGAAGGGGCAGCGGAUGAAGUGAGACGAUGGUUAUCCGAGUGUUCAUCGCCUCCUCCUCAGGCUUUGUGGCGAUAAAAAAGAAACAGCAAGAUGUAGUUCGUUUUCUGGAAGCCAACAAGAUAGAAUUUGAGGAGAUAGAUAUCACCAUGUCAGAGGAGCAAAGACAAUGGAUGUACAAGAACAUUCCUCCAGAAAAAAAACCAGCUCAGGGCAAUCCAACGCCACCACAAAUAUUCAAUGGAGAUCGAUACUGUGGUGAUUAUGACAGCUUUUUUGAAUCAAAGGAAAGCAAUACCGUCUUUUCAUUCUUAGGCCUGAAAGCAAGAUUGCCAUCAAAGGCAGAGCCCUAAGAGUGGAAAGGAAACUAUGAAGACAGAAGUACAUUUGGAAGAGCAAGUGAGGUGUUCAGCAAACAGCCGCUUACCUAAUAGAUCACUGUGAUAAAAGCUACUUGCAACAUCAGCACUUUGCUUGCCACUGAAGAAAUGCUUUCCAAAGAUGUGGGACCACUGGGCAUUACAAAAAUCUAUAAAUCAAAUUGGUCAUAUGGUGGAUUGUUCCUUAUUUUCUGAUUUACCUACAGUUGAUGAGCUGUCUUUGGGGAGUCUUUUACUGGGUACUCAUAGUCUUGCUUUAUAGUUUCAAAGUUAAGUGGAUGGUAGUCACUAGAUGAUAAUUGUAGUAUCCCUAUGCUAUUGCAGUAUAUACCCAUGUUAGUUAGACAUGCUUUCCUUUAAGCUAAUGCUGCCCAGAUCAUGUUCUUGAAAUUAGUUUAUUAGGAAUUUGCAUGUCUUGAGCCAGAAAAGGGGGCAGGGGAAAGUGAUGCUUAGAACAAGCAGGGUGAUGAAGAAAAAUGUCUCAUAACUAGGAAUGAUGAUAUUUCUGCUAUUUGUAAAUACCACAUAAAUAUAACUUGAUGUUACAGCCUACUUACUAUUAUAGGAGCUCUUCAAACAUAAGUGAAACAUAUAAGUGACUUGAAUUGAGGAAAAUCUUCCUAGAGUAUUGAAAACUCUAAUGAUAUUUUGGAAAGUAUCUGGGUUUGUUUGUUUUUUUCUUUCUCCUUAGAAAAAUUUUCCACUUAAAUGCCAUAAGAUGCUUGACAGAGAUAUUUUAAAUUGUGAAGGCCAUGCACUAAUUUAAUCAAAACUUAAUAAGAAAAUGUUUGAGUUACAUCUGAAAGUUUUGUGACUACAGAGAUAUAUUAUAUGUAUGUAUGUGCAUAUAUGUAUAUAUACACACAUAUAUAUCUAUAUGUAUAUCCCACACAUAUAUAUUUUUAGUGUACCCCUUCCCAAUAGCUACUUAUUGUUUCUUGUAAAAGGAUUAUAUUUUUUGAAAAGGGAGCUCUUGGCUAGAUAUAUUUUGUGUACCCACUGAUGAGUAAUAUUAAAUGAUACUAAUACCUCUGCAUAAGUGAAUAUUUCUUUCUAUGUAACCUUUCCUUUAACCUUGCUUCUCCUGGGCCCUAUGCUAACUUUAAUCUUUUAAAAAUUUAAACAUUUCAACUUAAUGCAGAUAAAUACAGUUUUCCUACUAAUCCUGCCUUCAAGGAUAAAUUUGCAGACUAUGCAUUUGCAACAGAAUUACUUUAUGGCAUACAGUAUCCUUUCCCUCCCACUAUAACUAUAAACUUUGUUAGGUGAUUCUCCCAUUUAGACAGAUGUGCUUUUCUGCAUCUUAAGUGUUCUUAGUGUAAACAAUUUGUAUUUUUAUAGUAUGUGAUAGCUAAAUAUGGGACUUUGGUAUGUUCUUUGCAUAAGACAUCUCAGAGCACCCUUGAAAAACUCCUUGAUCUGCAUACAGACACACACAUAUACACAUACUCACAUCUACAUGUACAACAAUAUCUGAGCUAUUAGGCCCAGAGAACUAACACAGAAUUUCAGCAGUUUAUAUAAAAUUGAAAGAACAGCUGAAAUGUCCACAAAUCUAUUUACCUGAACAAUUUAUUCAAUGGGGAAGCAUUUCAUUGUGAAAAUUAAAACAAAAACUCAGACCAGAUAUUUGUAGUCCAACACUUUAACCAAAAAAAAAAAAAAAAAAAAAAAUACAGUAUUCAUUUCUAUUUCAUAAAAACAAGAGACUUGAUCUAUUUCAUAAAAACAAGAGACUUUGGAUAGAUCCAAAGAAAAAGUUAGUUAGGCAGCUUGCAUGUCAUUGGUUGUUUGGCAAUGAGUAGGGUGAAGGUCAGAUCCUAUUACUGUGAAUUCCAAGGGCUUGUCCAGGAAUUUUGUGUAAUUGAGUAUUGAUUGAAUAUAUGAGCCCUGUGCUGCAAUUUUGAAACUAUUAUGAAGAGAUUUCUAUUGUAUGUGAUAGAAUUUAAUACAUAUUCCAUUUCAUUAAACUUUGCAAACAACAACAAAGUUGAACUUGAAGGAUAAGGGUGAGUUUGGGUUCUUGGAAUAAUGAGACCAGUGACAUAUAUCCUGAAAAAAGCAGUGCCCCAGAUUGGCUGUUUCCCUUAUGAAUUCCUAAUUUCCCAUUGUAAAUCUUUCAUCUUUAUGAUAAAUGAGUGUUUGUUUUUCUGAAUUCAUUUGACAUGCAACAUCCAUCCUUUGCUUUGUCAGUUAAAUAAUAAAAGUAGAUAGAGCAGGCAGUGCAUUAAUUCCAGUGAAUAAUUAAUUUUGGAAGUAUGUUAUUUAUAUUAGGACCAAUGGAUGACUAUACUGUUUUAGGGUACUGCAUAUUACCUGAACAUUGUGUCUAUGCAAUAGUUAUUUAUUUCAUUGUCCAGGCCUAAUCAAACUACCGAAUGACAUACUCAUAAUGACCUUCUUUCAUUUAUUUCAAUUAAAUUUAAUACUUUUUUUUUUUUUUUAAAGCACAUACUAUACACAAAAGGCUAAUCUAAAUGUGAAUGGUCCCUGACCUGAAGGACUUUAUAGUCCAAUACAGGAAUAAAAUACAUUUAUAAAUAUUUUUAUAAAGGUAGAUACUUUUAAGGGCAGAAGUAGGAUAAAGCUAGAUAAAGUACUAUAAGAAAUGUGAGAAAUAAAUGAACCCGCUUUAAUGAAGAAAUCAAUGAAGUCUUCAUCAAGGAAGGGGCACUUGAGCUGUCUCUUAAAGAAAGAGAAAUCUUUUGAUACAACUUUGAUGUGUAUGAAAUACUUUAAUUAUUAUGGGAUUGUGGUGGCCAUUGUCUUAAAAACCAAGUUUGGGGAGGAAUUAUGAUUAUGGGAACUACAGUUACAAACUUUAAAUGUUAGGUCAGUCGUUCUCUUGUGAGUUCCUAUUGGAAAUGGUUUUAGGGCAAAAAUCAAAUUCUGUGACUUUUAAUCAGAGUCUUUUGUUGCUGCCAGAAGGUUUUAUAGUAUAAAUUAUUUAGGGAAGGAAAUUUUUGUUUUUUUCAGGUUUUAAGUGUUAUAAUAUAUCAGAUAUCAAAAUAGACAAGAAUUAUCUUUGAUUCCAAAACAGUUUUCAGAAUUUUUUAGAAUAAAAAAAUUCCAGUGUGACAUCUAUAGUUUAACAUUUUCUUUUUUUAAGACCUUAAAAAUAUAGCAAGGUAAACUGACUAUAUAUUCCCUUUAGAGAAAACAACAAACUCUGUUUUUACUUUUUUUUUUACAAGUGUUUUUCAUUUUGCUGUCACUCUCCAUAUUGCUUUGUAGCUCCUCUUACUGUUUUUGUCUUUAGUUUUGUUUAUCUGCUCAUAAAAUAAGUUGCAUACCUGGUUGUAAAUCUAACAGCAAAAGAAUGUAUGUGAAUCGCUUUAAAGCAUUUACUGAAAUUGGGGUGUUCCCCUGCCAACAAUUUUCCACAUCUAUACCACCUUUGUAUGAUUUUCUUUACAAAACAAAACUUCUUGCUUAAGUAUACUUGUCUGCCGUAUUUCAGCUGUUCACAUGCAUGUAGCAGCCUAAAUACUAAAGACUCUGUCUUAUAACCAAUGUAAUAAAAGGAGUACCCAUUGAAUAGGACUCUGGGGAAAAAAAGUUUGUCAGAUAGAAAACCAUCAAUCAAUACAGCACAAAGCAGCAGCAAUUGUGUCAGCUCCUUUGUUUUAGAUUAGUGAAUCCUUGCCUGCCCGAGCACAUAGAUGCUUCAUAGUUGGUGAGUUAAAAGUAGAGGAUAAAAUUCUGGGCUUAGACUUUGGCCUGAUACUACUAAAUGAGACUGGAUGUAUUAUUAAUCUAUACAUUCCUAAGGCAAUUCCUAGGAUUUCUCUAAGUAUAUAAUAUAUAAGUCAUUAGGGAUUUUGAUCUGUAGAAGCAGAGGGAAUUCCUAGACUGAUGAAAGCAUACAUCUUUACAUAUCUGGGUAGCAGAGAAAAAAAAGAAAUCUUAGCUUGUAUGGAGAUAAGCAGUACCUCUUGUUCAACAUGUCACUUUAAAGGUAACAAUACCUGAAAUUCAUUCCAUCACUCAAUUCCAGUUAAUAUUGGUCCAUUACAUUUUUUCAUUGUAUUGUGGUGCAUUGGAAACAACUCCGUUUAACUGCACGAAUCACUUAACCCCAUGGGUCUCAGUUUCCUCAUUUGCAAAAUGAGGAGAUUGGAUCAGAUGAUUAUUAAAUAUCCUUUUCACCUCUAUAUGAUCUUAUGAUCUUACCAGUCAACAAGUAAAUACAUUAAGGCAGCUUUGAAGGCACAGUGAUAAGUCAGGAAGAUUAGAAUUUGAAUCCUGCCUUAGACACUUCUUAGCUGUAUGACUUACUAGUUAUAUAUACAAAUCAUUUAGUCUCUUUGACACACUUUCCUCAUCUGUAAAAUGGAAAUAAUAUUAGCAUGUACCUCAUGGAGUGCUUGUAAGGCUUAAAUGAAUAAGCAUGUAAACUGUUUCUCCAGCCUUAAAGUACUGUAUAAAUACCAGUUAGAUACUAGUUAUUAUGUGUUGGGUGCUAGAGAUAACAAACAAAAAAAUGAAACAAUAUUAGUGACCAUGUGUUUUAAUGGGAAUGAAUCUUGGAAGCAGGAGAAGGAGGUUGGGGAAAUUUUAAGACUGUCAUGUUUUUACUGUGUCCAAAUUAAAGAAGAGGAAGGAACUAACCAAAAAGCUACUGCUGUUAGAGGAAAAAUAAUUCUUCAUUCAAUUUGUAUGAUAGGUGCUAAAUAGAAUUAUUAAAUUUAGAAAUUAUAGGAGUAAUUAGAAGUUUUAUUAUGCUUCAGCAUUGUUUCAGAAUUCAGAAAAAUAACACUGAGCAAAGAAUGAAGUUUCUGACAAAGACAUUAUAGAGAAAAAUUAUAUCAGAGAAAUAGUUUGGGUUAAUUUAUUUUUUUAAACAUAGAUUCUCCAUGGCCUUUUAUGCCAUAAAGAUCACAAGAGACAUAGUCAAAUGUUCUUUAUCUCAUGCUUCAAUUAAGGUUGAACAAACUAAGAAGUUAGUAAAGAGACAAAGUUACAGGUUUAAAUGCUUAAUUUACAAAAUCCUACAUUUCCAAAACUAUUAAGGCUACAUUCUAAAGAGGUCUUAAUGGACUAAUUGAAGGGAGAAAUUUACAUGUAACAAAAAUAACCAAAGGUUCAGCAUCAGGGAAAUUGUUCAAAGAUUUGAGUUAGCUAAAUUACUUGUCAGGUUUUGAAAUUUUUUGUAAUUGCUUUAUUCCCUUCAUCCUCUUCUUUUGGUUUCUUAUCUUAGGAAUAUAAAAAAAGUCUUCGUUUAUUACUGUUAUCCAUGAAUUAGAUUUUAGCCAGAUGAGUUUAAUAAGAACAGGAAUAAGUUUGUUAGCCAAAUGAUUCAGCAGUAAUCACAUAAAAUUCAAUAAAAGGGAAUAAAAAAAUUCUCAUAAUAUUAUUAAUAAUAUAAGAAGAUACCAAAACUACUAAGACAAAUGUAAUCAAUACUAUGGUCCAGUUUUUCCAAUUUUUCAAAAAAGAUUAUAAAAUUCAGGAUAACAAGAUCGUUUAGAAUUGUUGUUGCUACUUUGAAAUGAGGAUUUGAGUAUGUAUUUUCUAAUUACAAAUCAGAAGAAACAGUGUUAAGAUUGCUUUAAAAGUAUGUAAAGGAAAUUUCUUUUAUUGACUAAAAAAAUAUAUUUCAGUAUAACAAGGAUCCUGAUAUGUUGGUAACUCAGUUUCCCCAACUCAUAUUCCAAUUGGUCCAUAGCUUAAGUUAUAGAGAAAUGCCGGUGGCAUAUUAAAAGUAAAAAAACUUUGUUUUACAGGACCAGUAAAUUUCAGAGGCAGAAUUUCAACCCUACUCUUUGACUCCAAGCCCAGCAUUCUAUCUUCAAUCAUUCUGCCUCUAAUAAUUUAUGUUAUUUGUAAAUAAUGUUAAUUUUUAGUGCUCUAAGUGCAAACAAAGGUACUUAGAAAGUUGUCAGUGUAUCUUGAAAGACAGACUAAGGCCUUUGCUUAAGCUUUCAUUUCUUUGUUAGAAAUCCAAGUCAUUAGAAUUACAAAUUGAUUUGCUGCUAUUGAAUUUCAGCGAAAGAAAAUCUUUGUAUAAACUAGAAGUGUGUCUAUGCACCUUUGCUACAUGCCCACAUGCAUGCUGUGCAUGUAACAGCAGGAAGAUUCACAAAUAGGCAAAAUAGCGUUCUUAUACAUUAAAAAACCAUGAAGAAGGUUAUUCGCUUAAAGCAGGAAUUCUUAAUCUGAGGUAGAUUUCAGGGCCCUAUGAAUUUGAAUGGGAAAAUUGCAUUGGUUUCCUUUAUAUUUUAUGUAUAUAUUCCUAUGAAUUUAUGCAUGUUAAGACAUGAUUCUUAGAAAAGGUCCAAAUGUUUUACUAGACUGCUAGUGUAGCCAUGUCAGAAAUAGUUAAGAACCUCUUGUGUUAAGCCAUUGGAAAUUUAAAUAACUUAAUUCAAUAAUUAACUGAAUGAUAGUCUUUAAACAUUACACAAAAUACCUCAUGCAAGCAGCAUGCUUUAGUAUAUUAGUUAAUCACUGGUUGGUUUAUAUCAGGAAUAUGAAAUUAGAAGUUAUAUUCUCUAUGGAACCUAUUGACCUAAAAGGUCAAUAUUUUUAUUUUUAUUUUUUUUAAUUUUUUAAUAGCUUUUUAUUUACAAGAUAUAUAUAUAUAUAUACAUGGGUAAUUUUUCAGCAUUGACCCUUGCCAAAUCUGUUCCAACUUUUCCCCCUCCUUUCCUCCACCCUCACCCCUAAAUGGCAGGUAGACCCAUAUGUGUUAAAUAUGUUAAAGUAUAUAUUAAAUACAAUAUAUGUAUACAUAUCCAUACAGUUAUUUUGUUGCAUAAGAAAAAUCAGACUUAGAAAUAAGGUAAAAAUAACCUGAGAAGGAAAUAAAAAAUGCAAGCGGACAAAAACAAAGGGAGUGGAAAUGCUAUGUUGUGGCUCAUACUCAUUUCCCAUAGUUUUUCACUGGGUACAGCUGGUUCUCUUCAUUAUUGAAAAAUGGAACUGAUUUGAUUCAUCUCAUUGUUGAAGAGAGCCAUGUCCAUCAGAAUUGAUCAUCAUAUAGUGUUGGAAUACACAGGAGAGCUGCUGAAAUACACGGGAGACACAUGCCAGUGGCUGCUGGAAAUCCAACCCAGAAUGGAUCUCUUCUUGUGAGAGAAUGAUACAAGGAGACUGAGAAACCGUUGUUCUCUGAUCUCUCUGACUGAGAGGCCAUUGCGUUGUCUGACCUCUCUCCUUUUCCCUCUGCCUCCAGUUUAUCUCAUUCCCAGCAAAGGCUACUUUGCAACUCCUUUAGAUGUUAUGAUACACAGCUAUGGAGGCUCUCAGAAAAUUGACCUGCCCUUUAACAAUUCCCUGUUUGUUUGUUUGUUUGUUUGUUUUUUGUUGUUGUUGUUUGUUUGUGCUGUUAUUUCCCUCCCAGAGCAUGGUCCGCAUACUGAGGAAUGCAAGAGCACUAUCACUUCUGUAUGGUUGUAGCAGGUGUUGAUCGAGGCAAACUUUCCAUUAGAGAAAAGGACUGUUGUCAAAACAGGCAUUAAAAUCUCUCAUCAGUCUCCUGGCUCGGUCCUUUAAUGUAUUAGCCCAUUUAAUUACCUUGACUAAAAAAAUCUAACUUGGGCUCUUCCUUAACUCUGGAAGGAUCCUUCUCAUGAACAGCUCAGGUUCUUCUUGUAAUUCUUGUGCUUCUUUAUACCCCACGUUAAGGCGCCAUAUGUUGGAAUACACAGGAAAGCUGCUGAAAUAUAUGGGAGCCACCUAACAGUGGCUGCUGGAGAAACAACCCAGAAUGGAUCUCUUCUUGUGAGAGAAUGAUGCAAGGAGACUGAGAGGCCGUUGUUCUCUGACCUCUCUGACUGAGAGGCCGUUGCGUUGUCUGACUUCUCUCCUUUUUCCUCUGUCUCCACUUUAUCUCAUUCCUAGUCCGCUAUACUUGUCAGCAAAGGCUGCAUUGCAAACCCUUCCGAUGUUAUAAUCCACAGCUGUAGAGGCUCUCGGGGAAUUGACCUGUCCCUUAACAACAUAGUAUUGUUGUUGAAGUAUAUAAUUGUAAAGGGCUGAAACUCUUGUGUUUAUGCACUGAGGUCAGACAACUGAGCACUUAAGGCUAACUACCGAUUGGACAAUACUCUAUUAGCAUAUGCUUGGAAAAUGGUCCUUCCCACUAUUCUGUACUGGCUCGAUAAUUGGUGUAUACAGAGAAUUGUAGGAGGGAUUAAGGGGUGGAGUAAGACUAGCCAGAGUCACUUUUCAGCGGGAGACAGAGAAAAGGUCGUGGAGAUUCUGCGUCUAUCCAAUUCACUCCUACCUCUGAAGACCAAGAAUAAACACCAAGGACUUUUGCUUAUCCUGACUCUGGCUGAUUCUAAGGUAUCCAGGGUGCUAACGCAGUCAUCACAUAUAAUGACCUCCUGGUCCUGCUCAUUUCGUUCAGCAUCAGUUCAUGUAAGUCUCUCCAGGCCUUUCUGAAAUCAUCCUCCUGGGUCAUUUCUUAUAGAACAAUAAUAUUCUAUAGCAUUCAUAUACCACAACUUAUUCGCCAUUCUCCAAUUGAUGGGCAUCCACUCAAUUUCCAGUUUUUUUGCCCUUCCAAAGAGGGCUGCCACAAAUAUUUUUGCACAUGCAGGUCCCUUUCCUUUCUUUAAGAUCUCUUUGGGAUAUAAGCCCAGUAGUAGCAUUGCUGAAUCAAAGGGUAUGCACAGUUUGAUAAAUUUUUGAGCAUAGUUCCAAAUUGCUCUCCAGAAUGGUUGAAUGUAUUCACACUUCCAUCAACAAUGUAUCAGUGUCCCAGUUUUCCCACAUCCCCUCCAACAUUCAGCAUUAUCUUUUCCUGUCAUCAUAGCCAAUCUGACAAGUGUGUAGUGGUAUCUCAGAGUUGUCUUAAUUUGCAUUUCUCUGAUAAUGAUUUGGAGCAUCUUUUCACAUGGCUAGAAAUAGUUUCUAUUUCUUCAUCUAAAAAUUGUAUGUUUAUAUACUUUGACCAUUUAUCAAUUGAAAAAUGGCUUGAUUUCUUAUAAAUUAGAGUCAAUUCUCUAUUUUAGAAAUGAGGCCUUUAUCAGAAUGUUUGAUUGUAAAUGUUUUCCCAGUUUAUUGCUUAAGGGUCAAUAUUUUUAAUAGCCAAUUUUUAAGACACUGGUAUUUGAAAACUCAUUGGCUUUAAAAUGUUGGGACUUACAAAACAUAUACACAUAUAUACACACAUAAUAUUACUUUUUAGUGAUAAAAUUGAGCAAAGAUAUUUUAUUUUUAUAUUGUUACACAGUAGUAGAAUGCUGGACAUGGGAGUCAGGAAGACUUGAAUUCAAAUUCUGCUGCAGAUACGAGUUUUGUGACCCCCAAGUGACUCACUUAACCUGUAUCAGCUUCAUUUAUCUUUCAUUAUUUAUAAAAUAGAGAUUAUAAUUGCAAUUACCUAAUAGGGCUGUUAUGAAGAUCAAAUAGGAUGAUAGGUAGAGAUAUAUCUAUAUUUAGUUAUCAAAUCUAUAUAGAUAUGAGACAUUUAUGUAAGAUCUAUCAGCUAAUUUCUAUUAUAUUCCAGACCAUAAAGCACUAUAUAAAUGUUAGCCAUUUUCUUUAUAAUUUUCAUUAUUACUACUAUUAUAAGAUUAUUUUCUGUUUUGUCUUUGUAUCUUCAGUGCCUUGUACAUUUUUUGUGAGGAGAUUAGACUUGUGAUUCCAUAGUUCAUAUGAUUGUUAUAGUUACUGUAAAGAUUCAAGUCAGAACUAGUGCUACCACUUACUGACUUAGUUGCCUUGAAGGUGCCUUGAAUGACCUGAGAAAUGUGGGCACAGUUAGGUGGUACUGUUGAGUUUUGGAAUGAAGAUGAUGGGUUCAAAUUCUGCCUCAGUACCUAUUAGUUGUAUGAUCCUGGGCAAGGUACUUAGCCUAAGUUUCCUUAUUUAUAAAGUGUGCAUAAUAAUAGCAUCUACCUUCCAUAGAUGUUGUGGGUUCAGAUGAGAUAACAGGUAAAAUAUUUUACAAACCUUAAAGUGCCCAAUUAUUGUUGGUUUGAAUACUAUAAAAACAACAGGAAAAUAUAUGAAAGUUAUUUGACUCUGAAUUAAAACUAAAAUCCUCCACAUGCAGUUUCCCACCCCCCGCACCCCCAUACAAAAAGAACUUCAGGAAACACAAGAUGGAAACAUUCAUCACUUGGGUAAUACAAGUGAAAAUUCUAUACUAACCUUCAAAAUUGAAUUUGCAAUAGAAAGAUAAAUAUCUCUAAAAGCUUGUACCAUGUGUUUUGACGGAAUCUUUUCUUCUUCAAUCAAUGCUUCUAGUAGAAGAGGUGGGGAAAUAAAUAUAUUAUGGACUGUAAUUCUUUAGUACAACUGCCAAGAUAAAAUGCUCUGGGUUUAUUUCUUGCUGUAGUUGUUUGUAGCAAGUUUUCUUCUUUAAAACAAAACAACAAAAAAAAGAUUUGAGAUCUGCCUUUUCUCCUAUGUAAACAAGUAAUACAUGUGUGUCUAUAGCAUGUGACAGAUGUCUGUAUAUCUUGUUUCCUAGAAUUGGACUUCAGUCCUCUGGUUUUUACAUUAUUUUAUAAAACAUUUGUUCCCACUCAUUAAUCAUUUAGUGCUUAUAUGCCCAAUCACAGUGUUUGUUUGUUUUUCUUAAGGAAUAUGUUUAAUAGGUCAGAUUCAGACACCAUUAAUAAAAUGCAGGACAGCAGAAUAGAAACCUAAUUUCCUCUAGAAUUCCUGAGAUAUUGACUCCCUGUGUCUGGGGAAAUGUCAUGUCACUAAUCACUGUUUACCCAUUCUCCUGAUCAAAUAACCAGAAGGAUGUGGAGGUUGGGAAGGAAAUUUUAUUUUGAUUUUGUUCUUUAUCACAGUGUAUAGGAAGCUAGAAUAAUUCAGAAAAUCUUGGUGAUGGUAUUCUGAGGGAUCUACCUAAAAUGAGAGUUCCCCUAACAUAAAAGAUUAACAAGUUUAUUAUAAUCUUGGUGAGGUAAGAGGUAGGGUAGCUACUGUAAUUGUCAUCUGAACUCUUCUAACUGAAGUUACAUAGAUUUGGAUUUUUUUUUUUUCUUUGUGUUCACAGCACCCUGAAAGUUCCUCAAUAAAUGUUGGCUGAAUCGAAUUUAAUUGAAUUAUUUAAGUUUUGUGAUGCCAGUGAACAACCCUGUUUUUAGGUCUCUGCUUGAUUUUUUGACUUCUUUUUUUCCCCUUUCAUCAGCUCACGUUUCAAAGCUGUCAAAUUUAAAUGUACAUAAACCAGUUCCUUUUAAUUUUCUUCAACACGUGGGUUCAGGUUUUCAAACUCUCUUGCUAUCCUUCCUGUCAGCUUGUUUCAUAUUGUGUGUCACUGACAUCAUCAAGGCUUCAAUAUUAAUCAGUAGCACUAGAUUAGCUAGAUUCAAAAAAAAGAAAAAAAAAAAAGCAAAUCCCAGUUUUGCUCAGUCCAGAAAGUGUCUCUUUUAUAACUCAGGCCUGAAUGCCAUAUAAUUUGAGGCCACCUGGGUCAUCCUAACCCAUUUGCCUAUCUUUCAUUCAUCUAUAAUGUCAAGAUACCCAGGGACCAUUUACUCCUUCCCACCACUCCCUGAUCAAUGCCAGUAGCAAAAAUGAUAAUAAAGGCAUUAUUUCCAAUUUUCAAGACAUUCUUGGAAUCAAAAGAAAUUGAAUUUUGAACUGCCAUUCUCAUAUUUUUUGAAAUACCUAAUAAAUAUUUAUCAUUAUUAUCCCAUCAUAGAAAUGGGGGAAAAAACUGACAGGUUUUUCCAUUCAAGCUGUGGAUAGGUCGUGCAAACAAUCUUAGAAGAUAUACACGUAUAUCAGACAAGAUGACUACAACACAACUGUAGACAGUGAAUGAAUGGAAAAGAUGGAGCCCUUCCUUGUCACUCUGUGAUUGAGAGCAACAAGCUGCCUUCAAGGAAAGCCAUCUCCAGGGGGACUCAUUUCCUAGUAUAGAUUGUGGCAGAACUAGGAAAUGAGUAAACAGCUACAUUUGCAGCGAAGAAGGAGAGAUCUCUUUAAACUGAAAUUGGAUAGAUGCAGGCAAAGUGACAAGUUGAUGAUAAGUGGAAUUGGGUAGUAGUCAGGCAGACGGUAAUCAAGGGGACAGCUGUCAUCCUGAAACAAAUCAUUUUGGCAGAGCAUAUAUUUUAAGUUUGAUGAAAAGCUGCUUUUUCUAAUGUUUUCAUCAUCAUCUCAAACUGUUUAUUAGUCACUCACAUGCAUACAGUCUUCCAUUAGGUUAGUAACACUGUGGUUACUAAUGUUCCUGUUGUUGCUGAUUUGAAAUACGCUCCCUCACAUGCCUUUGGAAGAGCCAAGGAAGGCUUCCCAGGAAAUACAGACAGGGAAAUCUACCUUUCCCCCACAUUGUGGUACUGAGAGGGAUGGGGGUAGGGAAGGAUGUGUUAUCUAGUGGAAAAUGUAAGAAUAAAAAUGCCUGCCCUGGCUCCUUGCCCCUUUUUGAAAGGCAAUAUAGAGGAAACAGCCUUUUAUGAGAUUCUGGGCAUAGACCCAGGAUUAGGGAUGGUGGUGUGGGGUCAGUAUUCCAUAGACAGGGGAAGGAUCUUCCCAAACACACAGGAUGAAAAUCAGAAAGUAGUUCUGUUCUGUGAACUGGAAUCAGAGUUGCAUCUGGAAGGAAGGUAAGUAUUUCAGAGAGGCAGGGUUGAACAAUAGAUAGGGAACUGUAUUUAAAGUUAGGGAGACCAGGGUUCAAAUUCUGCCUCAGACAAUUGCAAAUUCAUUCACUUAGACAGUCUUUUUAUUUCUCUUUAUAUCUCAUUUUCUCUUCUGGAAUAUAAAGGGGCUGGAUUUGAUGGUUUCUUGGAUUUCUAUGGUCCUUUCCUGGCAUCAAGGUGGCACAGUGGGUAAAAUGUAGGACCUGAGUCCUUAGUUAAAAUCUGACUUCAGAUAUAUUAGCUGUAUGACUCAGGGCAAGUCACUUAACCCCAUCUGCCUCAGUUUCCUCAUUUAUAAAAGGAGCUAUAGAAGGAAAUGGCAAACCACUCCAAAAUUUUUGCCAAGAAAACCCCAAAUGGACAGACCAAUAAAUGCUUAGUCCAGAGUUUCUUUAUAAUAAAGUUGACUACGUGCCCUACUAGGAAAGUGAUCAUCUUCAAAAAAAUCAAAAACAAAAAAUAACCAGAUAACCUUGGCACCAAACCAUCUGCAUAUGCAUUCCAUUUUCUUGACAGCUGAUUCAUCAGAUAUUUACUAAAUGCCUGUCCUCAAAGUUAUUUAGUACAUGUUGAAAAAUAGAAUAGAAGGACAUGAGCAAAUGAUAAGAAACAAUUUGCAAGAGUAACCUAGGGUUUGGUAAACCCAAGAACUGAAGUGACUGAGAAAAGGACUCCUUUUUUUUGGGGGGGGGGCGCACAAGAAUUUCUUGGAAGACUAGAAAUCAGUAUAGCAGAAAUUAGGUUCAAACAUCUUAUAUGAAGUAGCCAAUAAAUUCAAAAUGACUGUGAUAUGAAUAUAAAAGGUUAUAACAUAAAAAUCAGACAAGCUGGGAUAUGCUCCACAACUAUUGCUAGAGGGAAAGUUCUUAAGAGAAAGAUCAUAAAAGAUAAAAAUAUAAAAUUUAACUAAUAACUAACAUACAGCACUUAUCAUGUACUAGCAUUGUACUAAAUCUUUUACAAUGCUCAUAACCUGGAAAAUAAGUGCUACUUUUGCCCCCAUUUUACGGAUGAGGAAACAGGUAAAAAUCAAGUAGCUUGCCUCUUUUCACACAGAUAUUAAAUGUUUGAGAUUACAUUUGGACUCAGGUCUUUCUGAUUGGAGAUCCAGUGUUCUAUCCACUAUACCAUCUAUCUACCUAGUUAUGUUUAAAAACAUGUUGUGUGAAUAUAAUAAAUUUAGACAGAAUUUGAAGAGAAAUGGUAGUAUGGGAACUUUUUUCUAUCUUAUGUCAUUGAUAGUCUGUUC